CGUUGGCCCCUGCUUUCACCUUGUUCUCGUUUUGCUCAUCGUCUUGAAUUGCCAUCUCCCGCCUUCCCCGUGUUUUUCUUGUGGCAACAAGUAGUAC
rnacentral:lncRNA from 1 species